UACGGAGGGGGCUAGCGUUAUUCGGAAUUAUUGGGCGUAAAGGGCGCGUAGGCGGCCCGGUAAGUCAAAGGUGAAAUCCCUCGGCUCAACUGAGGAACUGCCUUUGAAACUGUCGGGCUUGAGGCCGGGAGGGGGUAGCGGAAUUCCUGGUGUAGCGGUGAAAUGCGUAGAUAUCAGGAGGAGCACCGGUGGCGAAAGCGGCUCACUGGACCGUUACUGACGCUGAGGUGCGAAAGCUAGGGGAGCAAACGGG
rnacentral:rRNA from 1 species